AAUAAUUAGCAUCAUCAGUCUCUAAUUUAUAUAUAAUAUACAGCACAGACUGUUGAUGUGAGUUAUUGA